CAAGGGAGCACCACGGAUAAGCACGACUCGCGAAAGCACACACUCCAUCCAUUCGUAUACUCCACUGAUAGCCCCAUCAUUUGUGUCAAGUGUUCACAGGCCAGAAAUCGUCGUUCAGUGUCCUGCUGGCGAAAAAUUUCACUCUGCGCCCCUCUAGCUUUCUAGUGCGUUACUAUUUUUGUGGGCAGAUCAAAACAAAAAAGUAUUCUCCGGACGGGGCCCUUAAAAGUUGUGUUCAGUGAAAUUCGCACGUUGCCAAUUUGCAUACGAUUAGAGAAGCAAUUUUUUUGGUGUAGUUCCAUAGAAGAAGAAGUCGCCAGUGCAAGUGAAAAUUGAAACAAAUUCGCAAUUCCAGCAGUGUUCUGCCUCCUUCGAAUUGUUCGCAGUAUUAAUAAAAUGCGCAUCGAUUAUCAGUGAAAGGGGUUUGGGAAAUUAAGUGAAAACACAGUUAAGUGAAGUUGUUAGACGUGAAAUUCCUCAAUUUCCUCAAUGGAAAUUGCAGCAUAAAGACAGGAAGAAAGUGAAUCCCUCGAAUUUUGUGAGCCAUCUUGGCAAGUUCAAAGGAAAGUCUCUUCUAAAGUGCAUUCUGCCAAAACCGGACGUCGUGCGGUGUGCAAGUGUCGUCCGUUGAAGAAGGUACCUUACCAUUCAAGUCGUAAACGUGUUAAACAGACAUUCCGCGAGUUGAAGUACUCUGCUGUCAAGCGAAAUUAAUUCAUCUUUUCCUUCCAUUCUCUGUGGCCGUGUUCUGAACCCGGCUUUGCCCCAAAUUGCAAUCGACGAAAAAAAAAAUCACCACAGAGCUCUCCAUUUGCGAGAGUGUCAACAGAUUUUGUAUGAGUGAUUUAAGGUUCCGAAAUUGCCAGAAGCCGUCGUCGAGCAAGUCAACGAACAGCAGUUGCAUUCAAAACCGAAGCCGGGAAUCAAUCUUGGCUGUGGCCAUCGUUGGGUCAACCGAAGAACAGGAAGAAGAAGGAGAUUCAGCAUCGGGAGAAGCAACGGGAGAAGAAUCUGUACGGUCGAAAGUGGAAGCAGGUCCGGCGGCGGCAACGGCCAUUGCCAGCCCCGGUGUCAAUCGAUUAAUUUACAUCUCCUACGAAAAGUAUAAAUAAAUCAGCAAUUCGCGGUUUGAGUGCGACUUUGGCGCUAGAAGAAAAAGAGUAAGACGCCCAGAGUGCGGUAAGAAGUGAGUGAAUUAGUGGAGAUUUGCGGGCCGCGAUUUGUUCUGGAGUUCUUAAAUCCGAACCACUUGAAACAUGUAAAAUAUUCGGUAGCACAUUUGUAGGGU